GGGGGCGUCUGGUUUCGACGGGAUGUUUGAUAUGCUGGUCGCACGUAGAGGUUGAUCGGCUGGCCUCUUAAAAAGCCGCUCAAAACAAAUAAAUGCAGACUCUAACGAGCUCGCACUUGCUGCUUAAUUGACGGCAACGCCUGAACCCCGACGCCUACUGAGGGAGAAGGCGACUACCUAGCAGGCUGGAGGGAAAGUCGGGAAACCGGGCUUCCCCUCGAGACAAAACAGGUUCCUAGGACAAGCAACGCCGCAUGAAGGCCUAGCCGACCCGAAAUACCAGACAUCAUGCUAAACGUGUAGAAGCCAAUAUUGACGGUGUUCCGGACAGGGGUUCGACUCCCCUCGCCUCCACUU
rnacentral:tmRNA from 1 species